rnacentral:rRNA from 1 species
UACGUCGACCGCAGCCGCCCUUUCGUGCGCUGUUCCCUCCGCCCAAACCGGGUCGCUUUGGGAGUGUGGCGUGCAGGAGGUGGAGGGAAGCGGAGGUCGCGGGGAGGAGGGAGAGGUCGCGGCGGUGUCAGCGGACCCGCUGCGAGGGUGGAUGGUGGGUACCAACUCCAGCCGCUUCGCCGGGUAGCGCGCCGCGGACCCCUGCAGCGGAGGGAGGCGGCGGUCGUCGCCGCUGGCCGAUUGUACGCCAGCAGCGGCGGUUUUGGCCUACCGCACGACAGGCCGCUCCCCGGGCUGGACGGCGCGCCGUAGCGGAGGAGGUGUAGGCGGGCGCCUAGCUCGAGGUGUUGGAGGUAGGGCUGGACGGAAAAGGAGGAGAGCGAACAGUCUUUCCUCACGUCCGGCGACAACGGGGUGUGCUCCAGUAGGAGGAGAAACCAAAACGACUAAGGCUACCGCAACCGAGCUGGAUGUCCAGUCCUGAAGUACGGGAAAAGAGAACUCGACUUUGCGUACGUUCGUACCGACAACUGGCUCGGGAGAUUAAGUUGAUAAGUCUACACGAAAUCCGGAAAUCGUUUUGGAAAAAAGAAUAAUAGGUAAACCGACUAAGUGUAUUAGAGCGUCCUUUUACAGCUACAAUUUCGUAAACCAGUACUACCUAGUAAAAUGACCAAGAGUCAAGUUGAGUUCUACCGAGUCUAUCCUGGUUCAAACUUAUAAGUACACAACCUAUCCCCAACCCCAACCAGAGGACGUGUUCUCCACUUUAUACACUUCCACGUUUAACCUCGUCUUCUAAGCAGAUACUACGUCGUCGAGUUUCGACUUCUAAAGAGAUUAACAAGACUACCAUCACGCAUACUAACCCAACAACACAACCUACUUUUGUCCUUCCUACAGUAUAGACUCGUCUAUCGACUAGACUAACCCCUACGACCCCUAAAGUGGGAGAACGGUACGCGACUCGGCGCCACCCUCUUUCACCCACCGUCGCUCGGUCACCUAACCAGUAACCUAUUGACGAACAACAUAAAGUGUUACUCCUGUAAACAAACCCCCCACAUAGGAUCUCAAUUCCUACGAACCUACCUUCACCACCGGAGUGUUUCCGUGGGAUUACACGCAUCCGUUCUAGCUUUACGUGUUUAUGGACGAGUCGGUGAGAGUAGUAGUUGCGAGUUGUUACCGGAGAAGAAGGCCACGGGCUUCGUCGGCGUAUGGGUAUACGGAGCACGACUAAGAGAACUAGCGGACGCUCUUCAGUCGGUAGUACGGCAUGCUACAACGGAGAAGUCAUGUAGACACAAUCGAGAAAGACAAUGAUAGGUAAGACAUCGUGAUCCCGUCGGGCCACGUACAUCGAGGGCGAACGCGUCCCAGCCCCUUCCCAGGCUGGUGAAACCCAGAUAUCAUGCGUCGGAAAAGGAUGUAAAAACAUUCUCCGACAAAGGUCCUGAACUUGGGCACUGGAGUACCAGUGUUCCGUCGUCGAAAUGGUGACGCGGUUCCGAGGGGAAGAGAUGCCAUCCACUACUGGUUAGUUCUCCACAUUUAAGAUAACGUUCAAGGAAUAUACACGUACAAGUAGUUAGACUUUUUUUCCUCCACUUUUCCAGCGAGCAGUUAGACCGUGACGCGUUUGAAGGAGAGUUCUCCGCGGUGGCCCACCACGGGGUUGGGGAUCAGACAUCGUUUCUAUUGUAGUAGAUGUACGAAAAGGUUACGGUUUUCUUGUCGAGCGGACUCUCGAUGUCGGAGCCUGCUUUUGAAACGGUACAAUCCCAGAGUCCUGAGACCGCUAAGGCCCCGUUGCGGCGGCGGCGGCGGCCCGAAGCUGGCCGGCCGACGACCGUGGCAACGGUGUACACGCGGAGCCGCUGUACCACCGGAACAACGCCGAUGCAGGCGAGGGCGUAGCGACCGGGGAGCCCCACCAUC